CUGAAGUCCAACAUCCAUCUGAGAGAUCUGGACCUGAGUCACAACACUCUGCAGGAUUCAGGAGAGGAGCUGCUGAGAGAUCUUCUGGAGAGUCCAGACUGCAGACUGGAGACCCUCAGGAUCAGAGAUGAUGAGACGAUCAGAGCCAAGAUCCAGAAGAACUGAACUCCCAUCCCCCGAGUCCUGCGGCAGGAAGCGCUCCUUCUCUCCAAGAACUCCUGGACCCUGCAAGCUGGUCCAGAACCAGAGUCCCAGUGAGGAGUCCAGCCAGUCCACCUCUCAGAGUUAAACUAAACUACAACAUUAUUAAAGAUCAUGUUUAAAGUUAAAAAAGGAUGCUUUCAGACUGAAUCCAGAAGUUUCUCAAGCUGCAGUCAAAGCAGGUCAUUUGAGGAAUAUAUAAAACAAUUAUAAAACUGUAAUAAGAAUUACUCUGAAUACUUUCUUUGGACAUUUUAU